rnacentral:tRNA from 4 species
GGAGACGUGGCAGAGCGGCCGAAUGCACUGGUCUUGAAAACCAGCGACGAGCGAUCGUCCAGGGGUUCAAAUCCCCUCGUCUCCGCCA